rnacentral:lncRNA from 1 species
ACUCUUGUGUAAAGAAAAGCUUAGCUUUUAGCAAUUCAAGAUGUAAGGAAAUACAGGCAUGCCACCAUACUAAUGUAUAUUAACCAGCAUAGCCUCAGUCUCUCACAGUCUCUCACUUCUUAAUCAAUUCCUAUUUUCUCAACACAGACUGCAUUGCCACCAAGCUAUCAAGUAAUAAUUUUUUUAGAACUCAGAAUGAAAAGAAAAAGCCCAACCAACCAAACAAACAAGAAUGAAGCUUCAGGAACCUUUUUCUCCUGUACCGGUACACAAAGUCAUCCAUCUCUGCCACAGUGGUGGUUGAAUUCAGAUAGGCACCUGAUAUGCUGAUUGAAAUUUUUUAGUUCAAGAUUUUUUAAGAAUCUAAAAUAAAUUUCCUUUUCCUUGUCUUCAGGAAAGCCUACAAGUACCAAAUCCAAUUAUGAGAAAAAUGUAAU